rnacentral:rRNA from 1 species
GCAAGUCGAGCGGUAGAGAGGUGCUUGCAUCUCUUGAGAGCGGCGGACGGGUGAGUAAUGCCUAGGAAUCUGCCUAUGGUGGGGGGAUAACGUUCGGAAACGGACGCUAAUACCGCAUACGUCCUACGGGNGAAAGCGGGGGGAUCUUCGGACCUCGCGCCAUUAGAUGAGCCUAGGUCGGAUUAGGUAGUUGGUGAGGUAAAGGCUCACCAAGCCGACGAUCUGUAGCUGGUCUGAGAGGACGACCAGCCACACUGGGACUGAGACACGGCCCAGACUCCUACGGGAGGCAGCAGUGGGGAAUUUUGGACAAUGGGCGCAAGCCUGAUCCAGCAAUGCCGCGUGCAGGAUGAAGGCCUUCGGGUUGUAAACUGCUUUGUACGGAACGAAACGGUGAGCUCUAAUACAGUUUGCUAAUGACGGUACCGUAAGAAUAAGCACCGGCUAACUACGUG